AGGACUGUUUAUCCCGCUCCUGAGGGUGGGGAGGUAUCCCCCAAGGCGCAAGCACACAGUACAGUGGGGUCAAGCAUCUAGCUGACCUAAUUAAAAGCUCAUUACACCAGCCCAUCCCCAUUAACAGGCUGACCCACGUGCAAAUCCAUUAACGCAGGAGUCUUCUCUGCUUCCCAAACCAGGAAUCCCAGCCGCAGCCCCGGGGCCUGGAAACUCCGGCCAGUUUAUUAAAGUGCCUUCCCCGCCUGUGACCAUCAGGCAAAGGGAGAAUCUUGCUGGGAAUCUCACUUCUAGCCAAUGAGGAAUUUUCAGGAAAGCGAAAUGGAAGGCAUCAUUUUGGCAUCUCUGCAGAUCUGUAUUCUCAAAGGUACUCAGAUAUCCACGAAGUCCUCCUCAUCUCACACUAUCGUUUCUCUCACUGGGCACAAUCCAGCUUUAAAGAAUUCAACACUUACUGGUCUUCAGAGGACUGUCAGCAAUGACAGCAGCCAGGGAUGCUGACAUGUCUUGUUGUUUACAAAGGAUGAGCACAAGUCCUUUUGGAUAACCUGAUAAGCCCUGCAACUCCUCUCUCCCUGUUCCUCACCUCUCUGGACCAGCUGCCUUUGUGUGGUGGCGAAACUGAGAUUUUGGGAUCCAUGCAGCUCUAUGGAAUGUAUUAUGGGUGAAUUUUGAACCCAGGUCUAUGUGCUUCCAGCCAAGGGUAUUUCUUUAUGGAUCAUCUCUCUAGUGUCAUGAAAACCUCAGAUAGAAAGCUGGAAUCCAUUGCAAGACUACCAGGAAAACCUAAUCAACAGAGACUUUUGCCAUUCCAAAAGAUUCUCUUUACUGUAAGACAUAUAUAGUAAUAUUUAUUUGAAAUGAGCAUUUAGUCUAACCC